rnacentral:tRNA from 1 species
GCCACGGUGGUCUAACGGUUAGAAUGCUGGCCUUGUAAUCCUGGGGUCUCGGGUUCGAUUCCCGGCGGUGCCC